rnacentral:rRNA from 1 species
GAUGAACGCUGGCGGCGUGCCUAAUACAUGCAAGUCGAGCGAACAGAUAAGGAGCUUGCUCCUUUGACGUUAGCGGCGGACGGGUGAGUAACACGUGGGUAACCUACCUAUAAGACUGGGAUAACUUCGGGAAACCGGAGCUAAUACCGGAUAACAUUUGGAACCGCAUGGUUCUAAAGUGAAAGAUGGUUUUGCUAUCACUUAUAGAUGGACCCGCGCCGUAUUAGCUAGUUGGUAAGGUAACGGCUUACCAAGGCAACGAUACGUAGCCGACCUGAGAGGGUGAUCGGCCACACUGGAACUGAGACACGGUCCAGACUCCUACGGGAGGCAGCAGUAGGGAAUCUUCCGCAAUGGGCGAAAGCCUGACGGAGCAACGCCGCGUGAGUGAUGAAGGGUUUCGGCUCGUAAAACUCUGUUAUUAGGGAAGAACAAAUGUGUAAGUAACUGUGCACGUCCUGACGGUACCUAAUCAGAAAGCCACGGCUAACUACGUG